CUUAGCAAUUACCGCAGGCUGACCGUGCUCCACCGGGUGAAGAAAUAUCCACGUCCUACGUCCGCAACCCUCAGCGCCAAAUGUCCCGCAAAGAAAAACUUAGGGCAGAAAAAAGUCUCACGCCGCCGCCGCCAUCGUUUGCCUGCGCCGCCGCCGCCGCCACCGUUUGCCCGCGCCACCGCCCUUCCCGCGACGCCCCACCAGGCUACCACAACAGGACCUGCCCAGGCGUGCUCUUGAUUCACCGGUCUUCCCUGCUGGCCCUCCCCUUGGCCCCAUAUUUGUCUUCGAUUCGCCUCUGCUCGAUGAAGGACGACAUCAGCCUCGACCAAGGACUGUAGAGGUGGAUCCAUGAUCUACCAGCCCCGGUAAGGACGUAUGAGGAUGGUGGCGCCGUGAUGUGGGAUGAGGAUCAAGGGCCGGGCACCUAUGAGGAUGGAUGGGAUCGACUUGCUGUCGACGAAAGACGAGAUCAAAUAGCAGUUAUCUUUUCGGAGGGACGGAUCGACCCCACUGUCGAGAUAUGGAUGCGGGCAUCUUCCGUGCGCGGUUUCGCGUAUGCUUGAGCUGUAAGCUCUCUGCUAGCUCUAGAAAAUUGCUGAUUCAUUUGGUGAUUCAUCUUUGUUACUGAUCAUCGUAGUGCUUAUCGAAUGAUAUUAUGAUAAUGGAGCUUAUUUCAGUUAGAAACGUUGUUAGCUCUGCCUCUCAUGUAGUCUUUCUUGUAUGCAUGGAUGGGGCUGAACAUUCAUAAGCAGAAGAUUCUUAAUUUAAUUGGAUCAAAUUGUUUCAUAUAAUCUUCCCUAUGAUGACUUCAGGCUGCAUGGCUCCACUGUGUACUCUGUUUUGCAGAGAUUCCAUAGGCAGGUUUGGCUAUGCAGGUUUCUCCUGUCCAUAUGUAGCUCGGGUCAAUUUAGAGCUUUCGUAGCCAUUACCGGAGCUACAAGAAACCACCAUGUCUUCUAUAUCGUUCUGACUACUGGGUUGCUGCAACAAGUCGCUAUUGGUCAUGAUUGAUUCUUGUGUUAAAGGUGUGAUCUUGAUAUGGCCACUUAUCAAUCUUGUGCUGGUUCAUGGUGAUGAUUCCAAUAUGUUCUGUGAUUUAUUCGGUUUAUGGCUAAGGAAGUGAUGAUUUUAUUACCUCUUAGAUGCACAACAUUUCACACUUGACAUCAGGAUGAGGCAUAUGCCCAAUCCACUUCUGUCCUGACCUGGAACUGUACCCACCAGCUAUACAUUGUGCAAUAUUAACCCUCAUAUUUCAUGAGAUUUUGAUCAAAUUGCAAUUUCGGGUCUGUCGGCUAUACCGUCAACUGGUGAUUUCUUUUUUAAGUAUUCCCUCUGUAAUGAAAUAUAAGAGCGUUUAGAUCACUACUUUAGUAAUCUAAACGCCACCAUAUUUCUUUACGGGGAGUACAUUCUUAUUCCUUUUCAAUUAUUUUCUCUUGAUGCUCUAGGCCUUAGCUGAACUCUUAACAUAUGUUUUUUCUAUUUGAUUCCGAUCUCUCUGCCAUUACAUGGGACAUUGGGCAUAUAUCACACAUUGUUUUGGUAGCAGUUAUAGUUGAUUAUUAUCAAUAGUAAGCUCUAAAACAUUUGGAACGGCUCAAGUACUAUUUAAAGUGUUGCUUAUGAGUGCCCCCAUGAAGAUACCUACCAACAACUCUGCUCUGUACUGUUACUUCUGUAGCACUGAAUGCCAUGCUAAAUCUUACUAUUUUGCAGGAUAAUGUCCCUGAGUAUAUAAAUCUGUUAGUUUUCCUUAAUUGUUUAGAGAAAGAUAAUAGCGAUUACGUUGGCACUGCUCAUGCCAUCCUAUGUUACAUGAUUUUGUUGGAUGGUUCAGUUAUUGUGAUUUCUCAAGUUAGGCAUGGUAUGUUUCCUCAACAUUGGGUGUGUGUUUGUUUUCGGCUGUGCCUAAAUAUUGGUGUUUAUAUCGCAACGAAGUUGAUGCAUUACAAAAUUUCUGAUUUUCUCUAAUUUAAUGGCAUUUUCUCCUCCUUGUAGAAGAUGGUUCUAAGUGGGCUACUGAAACAACGGCAAUAUUCCAAGAAGGCUAAGAACAGGAGAGCACAAGGAACAUAUUCCUAAUCAGGCAACAACCUUCUUUGAUACAUUAUUUGUUCAUCGGAAGUCCUUGAAGAAGGAUGGAUACAACAGAUGCAGAGAUCUACAGGUUGUUUCCGGGCAUAUUGGAGAUGUCACAAUAAAUGUUCAGCCUUGUUAUCUGCAGAAAAAUAAAUGAUUGUCUGGUUUGGUUUUGGAUUAUUAGAAGUUCCAGUCAUGUCAUGAAUCAUGAGUAAGUUUGUAAAAUUCUUUCUUAUGAGGCCUGAUAGAUUGUCAUUCAGUAUGCUGCUGCCACUUAGUAAUGUAACCUCAUAAGAGGUGGAGAGUAUUUAUUCUCAGGAUGAGAGCAAUAAUUAGAUUUUCCUUUAAUGCUAAAACAUUAUCUUGGAUUUUUGUACAAAAUAAUAUGACUGAUGUUACUCUUUGUUCUCUAUUAUAAGAUAUAGACAUGGGAGGUUAUCUUAGAAAACUCAA